CGAGUCUUUAGCAGACCCAUCACCCCCACCUCCUCAAGAGUAUAUAUAAAAUUGAAAGUUAUUUAAAUAAUACCAACUGAUGACUGCUGUGCAGUGGAAAUAUCGAUCAUCUUGCUUGAAAAAACCUCAGUAUAUCAUCAGGAGCAACAGGCCACAUAUUCAGCUAAAAAUCUUCUUUGCUGUACUGCUGAAGAAAAUACUCAUCAACAUAUUGGGUGGCGUAAGGAUUUUUACAGGAUUCAGUCGCAUAUCUCAGAUCUGAGUUCUGCGCAGCAUUGGACACAGACACUGCACUUUUGACAUUUUCUAGAAAAAAAGGAUUUUAAAUUUCACAUCAAGUUCAUUAAAAGUCAUCUGAUGUUUCCACUGCAGUACUUCAGGGCCUUUCAGUCAUCCUGGAGGAUGACCCACAGGAAUUUUACAGGAUGUGUUUCGAUGUGAAUGCAGACUUCAGUCAAGCAGUUGUAGACCUGCUCACAGUUCUACCAGAGGACAUGCCCUCAUUGUGGAUGCAAUAAAGGCAAUCAUGGAGGGAAGAAUUGUCAUGGAUGGGUUUUACAGGCCUGUAUUUUAUUUUUGCUGUUCUGUUUG